rnacentral:lncRNA from 1 species
GUGUGUCUGAGCCAUCUUCCGUGAGGACCCAUCUGCCUACCUCCACUACAAAAUCUAUUCUUCGUUUUUUUGUCUUCCAACCUGAAUACCAGAAGCAAUUGAGUUCAAGCACUGCCCCAACCAAGUUCCUAAGAAGGUCAGACCCCUCCAGCAAGGUCAUCUGUGGUAGAUGCAAUUAGUCAUUUCACUCCAUAAAAGUUAGGGUACCCUCCCCACAUUUUUACAGCUUUACCACCUUUACCGCUUCCUUGUGCUCCAGGUACUUCCCACAUGGGUAUCUGAUUCACUUUGCUUGCCUGCUUUCUCCAAAGUCCUGUUGCCAACCUAUCCAUGUGCAAAAAGUCCUGUUGCAACCUAUCUCAUGGGAGUGCCAGAGAAUCAACACCCCUGAACCAAAGACUGUCAGGAUGGUGUCUAAAUACCCCAGCUCCUUUGCCUCUGGGUGGGAUAACUUUGAGUAGGAGGCAUGUUUUCCAUGUCAUUCUUCAGAGUUUUCAUGAGAUAAGGUCAGGUGGCCCACAGUGGCAACUGGAUUAAGUUUUGGACCAUUUAUUGUCUAUCUUCUUUCCCAGUCUCUUUCCAAAUAAACCAACUCCACUUGUUUGCCUCAGGCUGUGUGUUCACGUACGCAGCUCUGAGCAGAGCCUAACAUGUAACAAAGGAUCAAAAGUGUAUACAGCUCUUGCUGAAUAUCUUCAUUUUCUUUAGCACCAGCCCUGGGUAUCAUAUUAUUCAUUCAUUCCUCCAUUCCUCGAUUCCCUCUUAUAUUCACUCACUCAACAGUUAAAAUCAUUUCCUUGUUGCUUGUGUUGGGCCAGUAGCUGCUAGGUGCUGGGAUGGAAAGAUGGAUAGGGCAAAGGCCCUACCUCUAAGAUGCUUCCAGUCAAGAGACCCAGAAUGGAAGUCCCUACUGGUACCCAACACACCUCCCAAAGCAGGCUGGCUUGCCUGGGGGCUUUGUAAAGAUAUCUUUGCUUGGCUCUGGAAGAGGUCAGCUGCACACUAUAUUUUUUCUCAUUCCAAGCAAACAAGCAAUAAUGUAAUGGCAGGAAGCCUCAUAAAAUGGUUAUUUCUAUUCCCGGACUGCUCCGGGGUUCCAUCUAAUUUAUAAACAUUGUUUUAUGAAAAAUUGAGAUCAUUCUUGGAAGUGCCCACAGAAAGUGACCUUUGCUUGUUUUGGUGCAGUGUUUGUAUGUGAAUGUGUACACGGCUAUUGUUGCUAAGGAGGCGAUGGCCAGCUCAGGGUAAAGGCUUUCUUUCCAUUCUGCACAUUUCCUUCAUAAGGGAGGGUGUAACUGAAACCCCUCUCCACACCCAUUCUCCCCCAGAAAGGCAGAAAUGGAG